rnacentral:rRNA from 1 species
GAUGAACGCUGGCGGCGUGCCUAAUACAUGCAAGUCGAGCGAACAGACGAGGAGCUUGCUCCUUUGACGUUAGCGGCGGACGGGUGAGUAACACGUGGGUAACCUACCUAUAAGACUGGGACAACUUCGGGAAACCGGAGCUAAUACCGGAUAAUAUUUCGAACCGCAUGGUUCGAUAGUGAAAGAUGGCUUUGCUAUCACUUAUAGAUGGACCUGCGCCGUAUUAGCUAGUUGGUAAGGUAACGGCUUACCAAGGCAACGAUACGUAGCCGACCUGAGAGGGUGAUCGGCCACACUGGAACUGAGACACGGUCCAGACUCCUACGGGAGGCAGCAGUAGGGAAUCUUCCGCAAUGGGCGAAAGCCUGACGGAGCAACGCCGCGUGAGUGAUGAAGGUCUUCGGAUCGUAAAACUCUGUUAUUAGGGAAGAACAAACGUGUAAGUAACUGUGCACGUCUUGACGGUACCUAAUCAGAAAGCCACGGCUAACUACGUA